rnacentral:lncRNA from 1 species
GCCAACUGUGAUGAGAAAUUAUCUGAAGAUCAGCUGGCUGUGGUCUUGUUAAACUCCAUUAGUGAUAGGCAUAGAGACUUAAAGAAUGCCUUGGAAUAUGGAAGAGAUGAGCUUACCCCAUAUAUCAUCAUAAAUGCCUUAAGAAAUAUGGUUCUUGAAUUAAAAUCAGAUUCUAUCAACCAUCAAAGUGGAGAAAAUCUUUUGUUAAAAGGAAAAAAUGUUGGUAAAUCUAAUUUUCAUUUAAAAUUUCAAAAUGAC